UACUGGUACUACAAGCCAAUCUGGUGCACAUCAGCGUUAUCUGACGUCAGCUAAAACCAGUUCUGAGGCACUACAUCGGGACCAGCUGCUAGAUACUGAACUGCACUCUGGCCUGCCUCUGUACUCCCAAUUUCCCACCCGUAACAUUUGCAGGAUGCUACCAGUUAAUUUAUGUUCCCUACAGCAGGGAGGACCCAGAUGUUGAGGCUGCAGUUACUGAUCUGAAAGAAGUUCACAAAUACAGGAAGCUUUCAGAGGAUAAAAGAAAUCUGUUCUCGAGGAAGAUAAUCUAUGGCUAAGAAGGUGAAGUCUGGGGUCCCACAGACGUGCAUUUGCAUCCUGGGUCCGCCACUUAGCUGUGGGGCCUUUGAGCUAGUAACUGGUUUAACCUUUCCAAUAGGCCAUGCAGCCUCUUCAGCAAUAAAAUGAAGACAACCGUAUCCUCAAAGAGGUUCAUGACAGUCAAGUGAUGUCAUAUAAAUAAAAAUCUUAUCAUAGUGCCAAGUA